UUGCCGGGUGAAAUGGGAUCCUGGGGGCGGAGUGAGGGGGGAGAAGCAGAAUACGUCAGGCACCCCAACACCAAAAAAUGAGCGGGAAUUAAUUCUGAGUGAAAUAUGCUGUCACUGUAUGUAUACGUAUAUGUACGUGUGUCAGAUCGGAACAAGGGGCUAAAAAUCAAAAUCCAAACAAGCGUUUUACAACAGUAAAGUUUCAGUCACGCUUGAUGUCAACAGAGUACAAAUCAUUGCCG